rnacentral:rRNA from 1 species
AAGGAAUAUUGGUCAAUGGGCGGAAGCCUGAACCAGCCAUGCCGCGUGCAGGAAGACGGCCCUACGGGUUGUAAACUGCUUCUGUACGGGAAUAAACCUUGAUACGUGUAUCAAGCUGAAUGUACCGUAAGAAUAAGGAUCGGCUAACUACGUGCCAGCAGCCGCGGUCAUACGUAGGAUCCGAGCGUUAUCCGGAGUGACUGGGCGUAAAGAGUUGCGUAGGUGGUUAGUAAAGCGAAUAGUGAAACCUGGUGGCUAAACCAUACAGACUAUUAUUCGAACUCACUAACUCGAGAGUGGUAGAGGUAACUGGAAUUUCUAGUGUAGGAGUGAAAUCCGUAGAUAUUAGAAGGAACACCAAUGGCGUAGGCAGGUUACUGGACCAUUUCUGACACUGAGGCACGAAAGCGUGGGGAGCGAA